UUCAGUAGAUUUCUACUGUGGGGAGAGCGGAAAGUACCUGUGCUGGCGUCAGCCGCCCAGUACGAGUAUGCUCUCUUUCAUAACCCUUGUCUUUUUGCGCACUCAUGUUUCCUCGGUGGGCCUGCCCACCGGCUGGACACUUCUAUAACCUUUUAAUUCUCAAUCAGCGUCUGAAUAAUUAUAAUAAUUACAACUUUCAACAACGGAUCUCUUGGUUCU
rnacentral:misc_RNA from 1 species